rnacentral:rRNA from 1 species
CGCGGCCUAUCAGCUUGUUGGUGGGGCGAUGGCCUACCAAGGCGACGACGGGUAGCCGGCCUGAGAGGGCGACCGGCCACACUGGGACUGAGACACGGCCCGGACUCCUACGGGAGGCAGCAGUGGGGAAUAUUGCACAAUGGGCGGAAGCCUGAUGCAGCGACGCCGCGUGAGGGAUGACGGCCUUCGGGUUGUAAACCUCUUUCACCCAUGACGAAGCGAGAGUGACGGUAGUGGGAGAAGAAGCGCCGGCCAACUACGUGCCAGCAGCCGCGGUAAGACGUAGGGCGCGAGCGUUGUCCGGAUUUAUUGGGCGUAAAGAGCUCGUAGGCGGCUUGUCGCGUCGAAUGUGAAAUCUCAGGGCUCAACUCUGACAUUGCAUUCGAUACGGGCAGGCUAGAGUUCGGUAGGGGAGACUGGAAUUCCUGGUGUAGCGGUGAAAUGCGCAGAUAUCAGGAGGAACACCGGUGGCGAAGGCGGGUCUCUGGGCCGAUACUGACGCUGAGGAGCGAAAGCGUGGGGAGCGAACAGGAUUAGAUACCCUGGUAGUCCACGCUGUAAACGUUGGGCGCUAGGUGUGGGGGGCCUCUCCGGUUCUCUGUGCCGCAGCUAACGCAUUAAGCGCCCCGCCUGGGGAGUACGG